rnacentral:rRNA from 1 species
UACGGAGGGUGCAAGCGUUAUCCGGAUUCACUGGGUUUAAAGGGUGCGUAGGUGGGUUGGUAAGUCAGUGGUGAAAUCCCCGAGCUUAACUUGGGAACUGCCAUUGAUACUAUCAGUCUUGAAUACCGUGGAGGUAAGCGGAAUAUGUCAUGUAGCGGUGAAAUGCUUAGAUAUGACAUAGAACACCAAUUGCGAAGGCAGCUUACUACACAGUCAUUGACACUGAGGCACGAAAGCGUGGGGAUCAAACAGG